CCAAUAGCGUAUAUUAAAGUUGUUGCAGUUAAAAAGCUCGUAGUUGAAUUUCGGGAUUAGUCCGCUGGUCGUGCCUUCGGUAUGUACUGGUGUUACUGGUUCCUACCUUCUGACGAACUGUCAUGUCCUUAAUUUGGUGUGGCGGGGAAUCAGGACUGUUACUUUGAAAAAAUUAGAGUGUUUAAAGCAGGCUCGCGCUUGAAUACAUUAGCAUGGAAUAAUGAAAUAGGACGUUCGAUCCUAUUUUGUUGGUUUCUAGGAUUGACGUAAUGAUUAAUAGGGAGAGUUGGGGGCAUUAGUAUUCAAUUGUCAGAGGUGAAAUUCUUGGAUUUAUUGAAGACUAACUACUGCGAAAGCAUUUGCCAAGGAUGUUUUCAUUAAUCAAGAACGAAAGUUAGGGGAUCGAAGACGAGCAGAUACCGUCGUAGUCUUAACCAUAAACUAGGCCGACUAGGGAUCGGAUGAUGUUAUUUUUAAUGACUCAUUCGGCGCCUUACG
rnacentral:rRNA from 1 species